rnacentral:rRNA from 1 species
UACGUAGGGUGCGAGCGUUGUCCGGAAUUAUUGGGCGUAAAGAGCUCGUAGGCGGCCUGUUGCGUCCGCUGUGAAAACCCGGGGCUCAACCCCGGGCCUGCAGUCGAUACGGGCAGACUAGAGUGCGGUAGGGGAGACUGGAAUUCCUGGUGUAGCGGUGAAAUGCGCAGAUAUCAGGAGGAACACCGGUGGCGAAGGCGGGUCUCUGGGCCGUAACUGACGCUGAGGAGCGAAAGCGUGGGGAGCGAACAGG